CCUAACACAUGCAAGUCGAGCGGUAACAGGAAUUAGCUUGCUAAUUCGCUGACGAGCGGCGGACGGGUGAGUAAUGCCUGGGAAUAUGCCUUAGUGUGGGGGAUAACUAUUGGAAACGAUAGCUAAUACCGCAUAAUGUCCUUGUUCAUUACGAGCGGGACCAAAGAGGGGGACCUUCGGGCCUCUCGCGCUAAGAUUAGCCCAGGUGGGAUUAGCUAGUUGGUGAGGUAAAGGCUCACCAAGGCAACGAUCCCUAGCUGGUCUGAGAGGAUGAUCAGCCACACUGGAACUGAGACACGGUCCAGACUCCUACGGGAGGCAGCAGUGGGAAUAUUGCACAAUGGGGGGAACCCUGAUGCAGCCAUGCCGCGUGUAUGAAGAAGGCCUUCGGGUUGUAAAGUACUUUCAGUCGUGAGGAAGGCAUUGUAGUUAAUAGCUGCAGUGCUUGACGUUAGCGACAGAAGAAGCACCGGCUAACUCCGUG
rnacentral:rRNA from 1 species